rnacentral:misc_RNA from 1 species
GAAGAAGAAGAAGAAGAAGAAUUGUCGCUUUACCAACUUGUGACUAAGGGCCCAAAUCCUUUUCAUUAUCUUUUGCUCAUGGAUAUAUAACAAUAAUGAUUUAUUUAUAGAAUAAGGAAUGUGGAUGGGACGCAGGUGUUAGUUUUUAAUGGUCCGGAGCACGGAAUGCAAGGUUCAAAGCCCGAAGCAGCAAAUUUCCAAGCCUAGUAACUCUACAAGGCCACUGCGGCAACAUAGUGGAUCCUAAUAAUUCUGUAGCUUAGCCUACAAGAGAACAGGCCCAACCCAACAGCAGAAUCCUAGGCUAAUCGUUUAGCAAUCUGAACCCGAAAGAGGAUCGGCAUCUUCAGAGCGCUACAGCGUUGCACUUCACACAUAGCAAGGGAAUCCUUCUAAGAUGGACAUGCAAAGGAGAAAAACCCAAUCUCAGCCACAACAACCAUCACGAAGUAGCCAAGCAAAGAGCCAAGUAAAACACUGAAGAACCCAAAGCCAUGCAACCCAAGAAAAACUGACAAAUAAAGAGAGCGAAAGGUAGAGCUCAACCAACAAUCUCAAUCUCCUUUAGCUGUUAGGGUUGGUGACCAUCAAAUUUGGCUGCCAAAAGCACCCAUAAAACACCAUUCCCAAGGCUAAAACUAGUGCACCCUCUUGCAUGACUCAGAACCAACAGAAUAGUACUAGCCUCGUAUGACAAAAGAAACUUUAGAGAAAAGCCUCUCUUCAGAGACUAGCGAGAGAAUGGUCUAUACUAUCUUUAUAUUGAGGACUCUCAGUCCCACAACGCAUUGCCGACAGUCUUACAAGCCUCCAAAUUAUGCAUUCCCCAUUUAUAAAGGUUAUAGCAGCAUGCUAUACAAUUCCUCCUAAUAAAGGCAAUACAGGAAUGGUUAUUGUACAUUCAUUUUUUUUUUCACAAAAAAGGGAAACAUGCAAC